UACGAAGGGGGCGAGCGUUGUUCGGAUUACUGGGCGUAAAGGGCGCGUAGGCGGCCCUCCUAUCGCGUGUGAAAGCCCCGGGCUCAACCUGGGAAUUGCGCGCGAAACGGGGGGGCUUGAGUUCGGGAGAGGAGCGUGGAAUUCCCAGUGUAGAGGUGAAAUUCGUAGAUAUUGGGAAGAACACCGGUGGCGAAGGCGGCGCUCUGGACCGAGACUGACGCUGAGGCGCGAAAGCGUGGGGAGCAAACAGG
rnacentral:rRNA from 1 species